UAACCGCUCAAUUUGAGUUUUUGAUUUUUUUUAACAAAUUGUGACCUUACAAUAUAGAACGCCCUACUUAGCUAACCGUUUCUAUUUGAUUUUACAAACCCUAGAAAUCCUUCACAUCGUCUAGUCGCCUCUUUCUCCUUUUUCUAAGUUACCAGCCGCUCUUAUCAUGAGAUCUUCACUCUCAUCCCUUUCUAUCUCUUUUUUCUCUCUCAUCCUAAUAUAUUCAGUUUUCCCUUUUUAAUUUCGUUUGAACCCCUCACCACAAAUUAAAUCUCAAAUUUUUUUUCUAAAAUGUUGUUUGGGGUUUUUCAAUAAUCUUGAAAUUGUGCGCUAAUCAAGCCCAAAAUUCAAUUAAAAUAUGUAUCAUUUGGGUAAUUUUUUCAAGGUUACAAAGAUGCAAUCUUUGAGGUGAGGAUAUAGAUUUCUAAUCGUGUUUUCUGGAUUUUUAAACCCAGAAAAAUUGCAGCUCGUCAUUUUCAUCCCGCUGCUCUGUUUUCGCCAAUUAUUUUUGCUGCUUCUUCUCUCAAAGCUUGUUCACCUUUGCUCGAUAUUGCUCAAAUCUCUUUUAUAAUUUUGGUUUUUUGCUCAAUCGUCACAAUCAAUAUAUAUAAGAGGAAGAAGAAAGAUAUUCUCACAGUUCUUCAGUCAUACAUUUUGUUAAUCUCUUGAAUUUGUUCUUCGGUCAUUGUAUUAUUAUUUUUUUUUUAAAAAAAGGGUCAUUGUAUUAAUAGUCAUUGUAAUUUGUAUUGAUAUUAUAAUUUAUUAGAUGAAUAUAUUUAAUUUUGGUA